rnacentral:lncRNA from 1 species
GCGGUCUGCCAGUCUGCUGUUGUCAGUUGAGGGAGUUCUUAGCUUAAACGUCUAUCUUUCUCCAUCUUCUAGUUUUUUGUUUUUUUUUUUUUCCUUAUAAGUAACUCAUGAAACAGCUCUCUCAAAACUUACAAAUUUAGAAGUUUCUCUUAUAUGAAGGCUCCAUCGUUUGGCUGUUAACAAGAUAUGUCUUAAUAGUGACUCAAAUCACUAAGACCCAAGAGGAGUCCCCACAAGAGAGGUGAAGGACUAGCCUUGAGAAGAUCUCGGCGGUUCACUCGGAAUGUCCAGGAAGGGAAAGACCUCUGUCUCCCGCUGCCACGAGGAAGGUCAAGAUGGCCUGAGAGUUGGACAGUCAGACAAACCCUGCUCAGAAUCCGGGUCUGUUUCACUGGCUGCCAAAUGUACACAGAGAUGUCCCUUCCGGAUGGCAAAGACCCAGUACCCAGACACAGGGCACACAGACACGAUGCCCGAGAGACACAGACACAGACACGGUGCCCGAGAGACACAGACACACCCGACGCAACCAGACAAACACCGAGAAAAUCAGCAAGGACAUUUGCAUCUCGAAGACACAGGGAGAGAAAUGCAAGUUCCCCCUGAAAGGACUGUUGUUUCUUUAAGAUCAGAAUUCUGAAAAGAUGUUUUUAUCAGACCAUCUUUUUCUCCGACUUAACUGCGGAGACAGCAAAAGAGCCCCCGUCUUAGUUACUCUAAUUCCCAACCGCGUAACCCUCGUAAGUAGGCGAUUCCUACGUCCACAGCUCUGGCGGGGGUAUCAGGUGGAAGCUGGCAGCUGGUCUUCCUUUUCCUUCUUGGUGUGAGAGCUCUGUUCCCAUCCCAAGGUCAGUGUGUCAAGACAGAGUGGCCGGGGAUGACCCUGUGGGGAGCUGAUGCGCUGUCCGAAAGCCCCUCUGGCUUUUCCCCGGGUCGCUUCAGCCCCGUGGGCUUCGGGAGCCUGGGGCCACCGCGGGGCUCUGCUGCGCCACCGCCAGCUCUUGGCGGGUCCCCGGCAGGAGAGUCCAGUGCGGAAGCGUGGGCGUCCCCACAGGGUGGCCGCAGGGGACGGGGACCAGGCCUCGCCUCCCUACUCCUCCCCUUUCCCUCCCGGCGCCUGGGAAAGCCGUGCCCGGCCCGACGAGCUCUCUCUUCUUCGGAGUUGAAAGCCCUCGGGAGGUAUCUUCCCUGUGACGCCGACAAACCCCAGGAAGGUAGCCCGUUCCGGGAACCGCAGCCGGCCAUUCUUCCUCCCGGUGACCUGAGUCCAGCCCCCUGGGUGUCUCUCGACGGGGCCUUCCCCGGUCUGACAGCUGAGGGCAGCCCAUUCAGCGUCCGUGCGGAGCAAGAGCAUCUGGCCAGUGUCUGCACCUGAGCAUGAGCCAAGCACCUCUUCUUGAAACCAAGCUUCCAGGAGGACCUCCUGCGCCUCCAGAGAGGCGUUUAACACCACCGAAUAAAACCUAGAAUCAGCAGCCAAUAAUGAGAGAUGGAGAAGCACAGGAGACUCACCCGGUGCAACUGGACGCUCGGAGAAGGAGAGGCCCGAGCCGCCUCCGCAGGUACCUCGGCUCUGGAGGCUGCCGCGUUCCGGCAACGGAGAGAAGCCUGCUCUGCAUCCCUCUGCGGUCACCAAAAGUGUAGACUGAAAAAAAAAAAAAAAAA